UACGAAGGGGGCUAGCGUUGCUCGGAAUCACUGGGCGUAAAGCGCACGUAGGCGGACUUUUAAGUCAGGGGUGAAAUCCUGGAGCUCAACUCCAGAACUGCCUUUGAUACUGGAAGUCUUGAGUCCGGAAGAGGUAAGUGGAACUGCGAGUGUAGAGGUGAAAUUCGUAGAUAUUCGCAAGAACACCAGUGGCGAAGGCGGCUUACUGGUCCGGUACUGACGCUGAGGUGCGAAAGCGUGGGGAGCAAACAGGGAUUAGAAACCCCCAG
rnacentral:rRNA from 1 species